CGCUAUCACUCCUACGGGAGGCAGCAGUGGGGAAUAUUGCACAAUGGGCGCAAGCCUGAUGCAGCCAUGCCGCGUGUGUGAAGAAGGCCUUCGGGUUGUAAAGCACUUUCAGUCGUGAGGAAGGUAGUGUAGUUAAUAGCUGCAUUAUUUGACGUUACCUACAGAAGAAGCACCGGCUAACUCCGUGCCAGCAGCCGCGGUAAUACGGAGGGUGCGAGCGUUAAUCGGAAUUACUGGGCGUAAAGCGCAUGCAGGCGGCCUGUUAAGUCAGAUGUGAAAGCCCGGGGCUUAACCUCGGAAUUGCAUUUGAAACUGGCAGGCUAGAGUCUUGUAGAGGGGGUAGAAUUUCAGGUGUAGCGGUGAAAAUGCGUAGAGAUCUGAAGGAAUACCAGUGGCGAAGGCGGCCCCCUGGACAAAGACUGACGCUCAGAUGCGAAAGCGUGGGGAGCAAACAGGAUUAGAUACCCUGGUAG
rnacentral:rRNA from 1 species